AAGUCGUAACAAGGUCUCCGUUGGUGAACCAGCGGAGGGAUCAUUACGAAUGGGUCCAAAGACUCUUAAAACCUACCUUGCUCCCCUACGUGGACAACAGGAAAGCCCUCCGGGGCAUAGGAAAUCUGAGAAGUUGAAGAACUGCGCCCCCGGCGCAUGACUAAGACAAAAAUUACAACCCAUAACAAUGGAUCUCUUGGCUCUG
rnacentral:misc_RNA from 1 species